rnacentral:rRNA from 1 species
UGGGGAAUUUUGGACAAUGGGCGAAAGCCUGAUCCAGCAAUGCCGCGUGUGUGAAGAAGGCCUUCGGGUUGUAAAGCACUUUUGUCCGGAAAGAAAUGGCUCUGGUUAAUACCUGGGGUCGAUGACGGUACCGGAAGAAUAAGGACCGGCUAACUACGUGCCAGCAGCCGCGGUAAUACGUAGGGUCCAAGCGUUAAUCGGAAUUACUGGGCGUAAAGCGUGCGCAGGCGGUUGUGCAAGACCGAUGUGAAAUCCCCGAGCUUAACUUGGGAAUUGCAUUGGUGACUGCACGGCUAGAGUGUGUCAGAGGGGGGUAGAAUUCCACGUGUAGCAGUGAAAUGCGUAGAGAUGUGGAGGAAUACCGAUGGCGAAGGCAGCCCCCUGGGAUAACACUGACGCUCAUGCACGAAAGCGUGGGGAGCAAACAGGAUUAGAUACCCUGGUAGUCCACGCCCUAAACGAUGCCAACUAGUUGUUGGGGAUUCAUUUCCUUAGUAACGUAGCUAACGCGUGAAGUUGACCGCCUGGGGAGUACGGUCGCAAGAUUAAAAGCUCAAAAGGAAUUGA